GAAAUUUUAUGAAUGACCAAUAGAAAAACUCGUACCCUUACGUAUUUUGUGUACUCUAAUGGUUAGUUAGUAAACAAAUCUUCGAAUCAUUUUGUUCAACAUGGUUAUUACAGCCUUUGAGCUUUUGCGGCUAAAUAUCCCCAGACUCCAUCAAUUAGUGAAUCAAUUUAUUUUGUAAUUUUUGUUGAUCAGGAAGAAAAUGUAUUGUGUUUUUGCUCAUAAUAGCACGUGUGGUGAAAUGUCAAAUAUCUUGGAGAUUGAAUUUGAUAAUAGAAUUUCAGAAAGAUGACACUGUGUAAAGAACAUCACUUUAUUUUGGUCUAAGCUUUGUAGACUUUAUUAUAUCUGAAUAGAUUCUACAUGCAGAUAAAACUUUUAAUCAUUUCCAGAGCAUUGUUCAAUGAGUGUUCAAAGGAAGGAGAUUCCUAUGUUAAGCUGAUUCCUAAAUCUGGAUUUGAUGAUUUAAGAACUAUUUGGCAGUGAAAUUAUCUUUUCUUCAAUAAAUGCCUAUGAUCUUGGCUUCUUAUAUCUGUUACUUAUAUGGGUAAGGAAGAAUGUAUAUUUGAUGACUGUUUAUUUUAAGAAGCUGAUGGUCUGUUGAUGCUAGUAGUGACUGCAAUGAACACUGGAAAAAUAUUUCUAUUUUAAAAGAAUAAAAGAGAAUUUCUUCUCUAUUCCUGACUUUAUGUGAGUUAUGAUCAUCCGUAAUUAGAAGUAAAUAAAGAAAGAUAGCUACAUUGAUAAGGAUCCGCUUGCAGAAAUAGUUUCAAUCACUUUAGAACUAAAAAAUGGUUGGAGCAGUAUGCAACGCUGAUAGAAAUAGUUUCAACUGAUGUUUUCCCGUUUCCUGAAAUGUUCUCCUACUUAAUUUUAUGAGAAUAGUGAGGAUGCCAAAGUUGGAAGUUUAGAGGCAUGUGCUCUUUUGAUGGUCAGGGGCACCUAAUAAAUGAGAAAAUGCAGUCUGCAGCUGGUAAUUAAAAUGCAAUUGUAACUAGAUCUUCGGAAAACAAAUUUGGUGCAUUGAGGCGAUUCAUCACAUAAAGCUUGAUAAUAAUAAAUAAAGCAAUAACGCUUGAUAAUGAUAAAUUAAUUGCUACAGAUUAUGGUUUACAUUUAAAAUAGUAUUAAAUGUAAAGAAAUCAUUGUAUAAAAAGGAAAUUGAUGUCAUUAAUAAGGUAAUGUUUUGAAUUGUAAGAUUAUGCAAAAACCAUUUUUAGGAGAUAAUGGUUUUAGUAGAUAUGGUCAUCAGUUUCCAUAAGUUACAUAUAAGUCGUGGCAAUUCCCCAUCUGGCAAUGUAAAGCUAUUUUUGCGCUCAUUUGUGCUUUUUUUUUUAAUUUCGUUUGCAUCUCUUUUUCUCUGAUUGAAUUGAGUUUUUUAUAAGCCCUAUUCAGAGUAUUUACAAUAAUACUUAGCAUCUUCAUUAAUUAACGAAGCAUUGUUAAGCAAAACGUUUAAUGAAAAAGUCUGAAACGUUCGUAUAGAGAUUCAUUUAUAUUUGACUAUGGCCAUUCGAUAAUAAGUAAUAAGAGAGAUUUCUGUGUCUAACGUACGUUAGCGUUUUAUAGAUGCUGGUACUGAGCCUCUAGCUUAGUUGGUCUUAUGAAAUAAAACUAUUACUGAAGAUGAACUUUUCAGUGAGAACUGUACCAAAUUUAAAUAAUGUGCAGACAGAGACUGAACUCGACUUUUUAAAUCUAUUUUUUGAUAACAGAAUUUUAGAUGUAAUUGGGAAUGAAAUAAAUAAUUUUGUGCAAAAAAAUAUUUGAAAAGAAGCAAAAUGAACCUGGACUUUCAACUGAUAACAAUGUGCUUAUAAUGUGCAACAAAUUAUAGGUUUAGCAUAAUUGAAAACAACUUAAUCACAAUGAAAAAUUCUUGUGUUCUUUUCCAUGCAAAAUAAUGUGGUUUCCAAGAGGCUGUUAUUUCUAGAUGAUUUUAACUUUUUCUUACCAAAAUAUUAUCUGUAACAGCUUCUUGUUAAUCCACUGGCUAUAAUUACUGUAAUUCCUGAUUUGUAAUUUAAAUUAAAAUCAUGCAUCAAUGAAUUGAAUGAUUUUUUCUCCUACUUAGAAGUCAUUAAUAUAAGCAUUAACGUGUUCUGUAUUAAUGUAUACUUAUUUUUUUGCAAAUAAAGAAUAGUGGUAAUUUUAAAGUUUCACCAAUUUUCCAAAACCGUUUUAUUCGAAUGUUUUUUUGUACCCACAAUAAAAGAAAAUCUUGAUAUUUUAGAUGUAUGAUCUACUUUUAAAAUUGAAUGUGUCUUGAAAUAUUA